CCAGUCCCGCCCAUAGGCUGUCCCAACUCCUAACCAAACUAGCAAACUUUAUGUAGCAUUACCAUCCAUAGCAGCAAGACUCAGAGCUGCUGUCACGCUCAAAAGCUAAUAAAUGGCUUAAUAUGUUACUGGGGUCUUCACAGUUUGAUCCAGAACGCCAGAGGCCAGAGAUGAAUCCAUACAGGAAGUAGGCCAUGGACAACUAUUGAAAAACUGUCAGCUGAUGGUAGAUGCUGCUGUGGGACACCAUGGUGCUAGUGUCUCUAGAUGGAAGGCGUGCAUCCAUGUCCAUGUCCACCUCCAGGAAAGCGUUCGCAGACUGGACUGAGGGCUGAUCUUGAAGGCUGUUCCUUCCCUGAUGCUGAUGGCGAAGCCUCUUCUUGUGUUUCUUGGCCCGCUUCAGAUCCAGUGAGGCAUAAUUCAGCUUGGCUCUUUGUUUCACGCAGAAGAAGAUGUUGAUACACAGAGAGAUCAACAAGGCCACAGAGAGCACCACCAGACCUAUCAGCUCAAUUUUACAGUCCACCCCGGGUUCUAAACGGCAAAUAAUGAGACAACUAUUAACACCUUUAACCUUUAAACUUCUGUCAGAUGUAUUUGCCAGCUGCUGAGUUUUUAAGACAGAGUGCUCAGUUUUGAACAUUUUUCAUUGAAGGCAACCAUCUUUGUUUGGAAUUCCCCUUUUUUAUACCUCAACAACAAGCAGAAAAGAUGAAACCUUUUAGAAUGUGCCAUCGUCUCUGUGCCGAUGACAAACAGCAAAGGAAUCAAAUGUUCCAACAAUAUUUAAUAUUAAAAUCCCUGAGUUUUAAGAUGAAAAAUCAGAGGAAAACUACGAGAGAUGAAGACACCGGAGAAUAUCUUGGCCUUUUGGAUGUGUUUGUCUUAUGAGCUAUUGCUUACAUUAAAUUUAAGGUUUUUUUAAGGGGUAAAAAAUAGUAUCAGGACAGGUGUGUAAUUUUAAGUUUCUUAUUUAUCUUAUUUGUUAUUUAUUUUGUAGUUUCAUGCCAAUAACUGUCCUCAAAUUUCAAAAAGAAGCUUUGACUCCUUCCUGCUGUAACCCCAGAUCUUUAAAAAGAAAAUGUUUCUUAGUUUUCUGUCAGUGAAACACUAAAAGGUAAUAAAAGAGCACGGAGAGCAUGCUGUUAAAAUGGAGUGGCACACAUGGUUUGUGUAUGCUUACAAUCCCCUUUUGUACUGACAUGUUCUGUCGCAUGUUUCAGAGGAAUAAUCUUCUCCUGUUUUUUUUAGUAAAAGCUGCGUUUGAAAAAUUAAGCUGAAAGAUUCCUCUAUCAAAAUCAAAUAUGUAAAUAAUGAAAUACUAGUUUGAAGUUAAAGUGUAAUUUAAAGUUUGAAAAGUUCCUACCUGUCAUAUUCCAGCCGUCUGGGACAAAACGUGUUGUCUGUCUGAGACAAUAGCUCUCGGGCUACAGAGCAUCACAGCGUGUAGUCAGUGAGGUGUGCUAACAGUAGUCUAUUUUUACUUCGCCUUUGUAACCUCUGUCUUAUCACAGCGCUUUGAAAACUUGCUGCACUUCAGUUACAAACAGGAAACAAUUUAACCUCAUUUUGAGGCACCUAGUCUUAUUGUGACGUACGAUUUGUUUUUCACAUAUAUCAACCUAAGAGCUGUUUUAACAGCUCACUAGUUUAAAAACGUGUGAUAGCAACUGCAGCAGUAAUAUAGAGGAUUUAAAUAUUAAAAAAACAAACAAAGAAACUUAAAGAAAAUGUCUUCAAAGCAAGAAAUAAAAAAACAAAUAGAAACAAUCAAAUUCACUUCUUAUCUAAGCUGUAUGUUAGUACUGUACAUGACUCUAAACUUCUAAGUAAAAGCCUUAUUAAUAACACACACUAUGGUUACACCUGUGGUGAUCAUCUUUUUAAUUUCCACACAGCAAAUGUGUCCCUACAGUGCCGUGAAUAACAACACACAUGUACAUUUGGUUUGACCUUGUUACAAAAGAUCUUUAUUUAGGAGUUGUCUCUGUGUGUGUGUUUGUGUGUGUGUGUAGUCUCUGUGUAAGGGGCUUCAGACCUAACAAUAAUUGAUGUCUUUCACACACACACACACACACACACACACACACACACACAGUACUUUGUGGUUUUGGCACUGUGGUCGGAAAAUUAGAAGAAAAAGAAAUCAGGUGUCACAGUUUCUUGGUAAAGUUAAAAGAAUUUGCACAUGUGAAUGUUUUUGUGUGUACAGUGUAGGUGGAAAUAUGUGUUACUCUGAAAUCAUAUGUAACUUUUUUUAGUUCAUUUAACUUAUGCUUUUAAAUAAACAGUCAAAAAGUCAAUAUAUGAUAGUGGGGAAAAAAGACAAUAAAAAAGCAGAUGUCAGAA